UACGAAGGGUGCAAGCGUUACUCGGAAUUACUGGGCGUAAAGGGUGCGUAGGUGGUUUGUUAAGUCCGUUGUGAAAUCCCUGGGCUCAACCUGGGAAUGGCAGUGGAUACUGGCAAGCUAGAGUGCGGUAGAGGGUGGUGGAAUUCCCGGUGUAGCAGUGAAAUGCGUAGAGAUCGGGAGGAACACCAGUGGCGAAGGCGUCUACCUGGACCAGCACUGACACUGAGGCACGAAAGCGUGGGGAGCAAACAGG
rnacentral:rRNA from 1 species